rnacentral:miRNA from 1 species
CGCCAAGCUAUCUUGUUAAAAUGCAGAUUCUAAUUGAGUAGAACUCAAGGUUCUCUGUAUUUUGAACAGAGCU